GGAAGGGCUGCAACUCAGUGGUUGAGCAUCUCCAUUCCACGGAGAAGGUCCCAGGUUCAAUCCUGGGCCUCUCCA